rnacentral:rRNA from 1 species
GGGGAAUAUUGCACAAUGGGCGAAAGCCUGAUGCAGCGACGCCGCGUGAGUGAAGAAGGCCUUCGGGUCGUAAAACUCUGUCCUUGGUGAAGAAAAAAAUGACGGUAGCCAAGGAGGAAGCCCCGGCUAACUACGUGCCAGCAGCCGCGGUAAUACGUAGGGGGCGAGCGUUGUCCGGAUUUACUGGGCGUAAAGGGUGAGUAGGCGGUUGUAUAAGUCAGAUGUAAAAGGCGUAGGCUCAACUUACGUAAGCAUUUGAAACUGUACAACUUGAGUGCAGGAGAGGUAAGUGGAAUUCCUAGUGUAGCGGUGAAAUGCGUAGAUAUUAGGAGGAACACCAGUGGCGAAGGCGACUUACUGGACUGUAACUGACGCUGAGUCACGAAAGCGUGGGUAGCAAACA